rnacentral:misc_RNA from 1 species
AAAAAAUGGUCCUUGUGACAUUGUUGGUGAUAUCAGUUAUGAAGAAUUGCGGGCUGCUGCAUAUGAUGAUGCUAAGCAUGGAUUGAGCUUGCAAUCAAUUUUUCUCCGCACCCUCCUUCUCUCCGUGACUCUGCCAUCAGUUCCUUCAACAAAGAGCACUAGAAAUCCCCCUCAAGCCUUGUCUUUCACUGCUGCAACUUACAGAGGAAGAAAUCAGUUUUUGUCUUCUUCACUUAUUAUUCUAUUUAUUCUAUUUCCUACUUAAAUUUCAUUUUCUCUAUUCUGUUUGGUUGUUAAUUUCCAAAUCUUAGGUCUACCUGCACUAGAUGAGUCGUUAGCUUUAAGAUCUGUGUUUUUUUCUCUAAUUUUAGACACAUUUGGUUGUGUAUUCUAUAAUAAAAGUUCAAUAUUUUGAGUGCUCAUCCUCUUGUUUUAGUUGAUUUGGUGUAGUUUGGUUGAUCUAAUCUCUGUUCUUAUAUGCACAUAUUAAAGUUGAUGUAUCAUGUAUGCUUUUCAAAUCCCUAAAUCCCAAUAUGAAUUGCUGUUUCAAUGUAAAUCUGUUUGAAUAUGUUGAUCUAGCGACUUGUAAUUUUUAAUUUUAAUUGAUUGUUGAAAUUGGAAGACGAAAAGAACUGAUUUUGUUUUCAGAACUGGGUUUUGUUAGUUGCUGAAUUGGGGAGCAUAACUGAUGUUGCUGAAUUGGGGAGAAUAACUGAUGGACCAAACUGAUUUAUUUCGGUUUGGUUCAGUUCGGUUGGUCUCUAUAAUUUGGUUCAAUUUGGUUAUUUUAAAAAAUAUUUUUUUUAUUUGGGUUCGAUUCACAACCCAACCAAUCGACUGCACACCCCUAAUUGACAAUGGUGAAUUAAAAAUGUAAUUUUGCUAUCUUAAAGACAAUAUGAUAACCUAUAGAGAGAGAAACUAUAGACCAAAAAAAUUAAUUCAAAUAAUUCUUUUCUUUAGAAGAAUAAAUAAGGAAACACCAAGAUAUAUAUGUUAUUAAAAAUUUAAAGGGGUAAAAUUACAAAACAAUAAUUUGUAUUGUUCUUUCAAAUACCAAAAAUUCUUUGAUAGGGUUAUUAGUCCAACAGAAGAUCCUGAAUAUCAUUCAUAUGAUUGUAUUGCACACUUAGAUCUGUUAUACUAAAAUGGUAAAGUAAAUUUGAUUUACUAUCAGUGAACACUUACCCUGAAAUUUAAAAGGUAUUUUGGCCUUAAAAAGGGCACAUCCUUGCAUGUUUGGGGUGGUCAUUCGGGGCAGUUGUCUAAUUGCACGCUUGGGCCUGUACAUAUAUAUAUAUUGAAAACCAUUGUGUUGGUUAUGCACACGAGAAAAAGCAACUCAGUGAAUAAGUCUAGAAUAAACAAAUAAGACCACGAUCAAGACUGUACAUACACAGAGGGUAAGAGACUUGAGAAGUUGAGUGAGAAACAAGGCUUAGGUAAGAAGUUAAGUCUUUUUUAUAUCUUUAUUCAAUAUAUAUAACUCAGUUUAUUGGAUUUCUUGCUCUCUCCCAAAUUUGUGAUUUUUCAUCAAGAUCAUACAAGAGCCUCUGGUUCUUUAAGAGGGAAAAAAAAAAGUUAAAUUGAGAACCUUGGGUUAUUGCAUCAAAACGAAAACUGAACCUUUGUUGAUUCUAAGAGAGCUUCUGGUUCUCCUUCAAAACUAAAAUAAAAUAAAAUAUACAAAUAAAAAGAGAACCUUUGGUUCUUAAUCAAUUUAGGAGAAUCAAUAGUUCUCCUCAUCAAUAAUCAAAGGACCUUUAUUUCUUAAAUCUUGUGAAUCAAAGAAUAUCGAAGCCUUUGGUUCUUACAAGUUUCUUUAUUCCAAAGCCCCCUGAUUCCAAAUAAAAAAAAUCUAAUUAAGAAACUUUGGUUCUUAAAUUCUCAUGAAAUGAAGAAACUAACCUUACACGAAAUUUGUGUCAAAAACUUAUGGUUUUUAUGCAAAUUAAAAUAUAUGCCUCCAAAAGUUAAGUCGAAGAACCUUUGGCUCUCUAAAUGCAUAAAAUGGGGAGCUUUUUAGCUCCAAUACUUGGUUGACUUGAUAUUAUGUGUAUAUCAGUUUAAUAAAAUUUGACAUUUUAUGGAACAGAAUACAAAUUUUUGUAAAAAUGAGUUUUCCAAGUGGUUGAGUUACUGGUAGGUUUGGUAAUAAUUCUACAGUCUACAGAAAGUAGAUGGAUGAAUUUUUAUGAUACAAAAUUUGUUCUUCUAUGAAAGCUUCCUUGCGACAUGUUUAAUGAGCAACAUUUUAGGUCUUCCUGGAUGUGCUCUAUGUAGAAGUAGAACAUUCCAUGUUUCUAUCUUUUCAUUCCAUAUGUUAUUGUAAUUACAGAUAUUAUGUUGUAGUUUAUUUACAUGAUUGCAAGUCGAGAUAUUGCUGCUUUUGUUCAUUUAUUGAAAAACCCUUAUGCCAGGUUGAGAGAGAGAGAAAUUUGCUUAAUUCCAAGUUGACCGAGUUUGAGAACCUGCUUCGUAAUCCUUAUGUAGCACCUCAAAAUUCUGCUCUUAGCCAGGGUACAUUUCCCAGAGUCACUCCCAAUGCAAUAUCAACUACUGGUGAAAAUAAUGCCCCCCCUGCAGUGUCCAGUUUCAGUCAACUGGGUGCAUCACUUAAUAUGGGGUCUACAACAAGGCCUUCUGCACCAUUAAAUAAUCCCUUUGGGCAACCAAAUCUCUUCUCAAAUUCUAGCCAGAGUUUCAGUACAUUUGGAAUAAGGCCCUCUGCAUCGUCAAAUAAUGCUUUUGGGCAACCAAAUUUCUUCUCUAAUGCAAGCCAAACCUCAAGUGCGUUUGGGACAAACAGUUUCGCACCUGCAAAUGCUGCAGGCUUCAGCAGUAGAACAAUCAACAAUCAAAGUAGUCCGUUUUCUUCAGCAGUGUCAACAGAAAUGACUAAUUUGUCUAGGUCUAGCGCUCAGCCUCUCAUUAUUUCCAAUGCACCUAAUUCAGCUUCUAAUGCAGUUGAGCCAGUAACUAAACAUAUUCAGUCAGUCAACGGCAUGCAAAGAGGAACUGUUUCUGGGGAUGCAAGUAUUUGGUUAAAAGAAAACUGGAUCCCUGGAGAGGUAAAUGCUUUUGAUAUGCUUUAUUUAUAACAACACUUGCAUUUUGUUUUCGCUCUUAAAAGUUUAUGAAAUAAGAAAUUAAAUUUUUGUUGAACUUGCCAAAACUCAGAAGCACAAAAAGAAUUUGAGAAACUGAAAUUUGUUAGCAGCUAAAAAAUGUCAUUAAUGCAGCUGAAUGUUCAUUUAAACUCAUAACUAAGCCUUAAUCUCAAUCUAGCUGAUAGGAGUAAGCAUUUGAUUAACCAAACUGAAUUCCUAACUAACCAAAACUUUUAACAGUUAUAAAAUAAUAACUGAACUGAGCUAAAUUUAGUAGGAAACUGAGCGUAAUGAGGAUGGGAAUUAGGAGGGAAAUGUACAUUGGCAAUCAGACAACUAGUUGCAAAAUAGCAAGGAAAUGUAGUAAUGUACUUUGUCUAUAUUAUAGGCGAAAUACUUCUUCUUUCUACUCCUUCCAACCAAACAUAGUGUUAUAACCAAAUUAUUAUAAUUUAUAUAGAAUUAGUAAAAAAAAAUGUAAUGUUAACUAUAUAUAAAAUGUUAAUUUAUAUAUUAAUUAAUGAAAAUUGGUUAUUAAAGUGGUGUUUGGUACAAGUUAAACAAAAAGGAAACAAAGAGAAGGGAAGAACGAGAGAGAAAGGGGGAAUUUGAGAGGCAGCUUUGUAUCCUUAGAAUUCUAUAGAAUAUCCUCACGGUGUAGACAACCAGUUCUGCAGUAAAAGGCUCCCCCUGCAUUUACCAGUAGAACAUUAGCCAUAAAAGUAUUGCGGACUAAUUCUUGUCCAUGAGCUAAAGCUCAAUGCUGACAAAUUGACACCUCAGAUUCUUAGCUACAGCUGCGUCGAAGAAGUUAUGAGCACUUCUAGAAUCUAUCAAAACAUUCUUCUUGAAGUUUCUCCAAGUCUGCAUGGUUUGAUUGCAAAUUUGGAUUAAGAUUUGAGACCCGUUAAGGGUAUACAUGGACAGCUGGUGACCCUUAUAUGCAGGCACAUCAUAACAGAACUCCUGGCCUUCAUUAACUUCUUCUAUAGUCUCAUUAUUGAGUUCUUGGAUAAAAUCAUGUCAAAUAUCUUGUUUUAACACCUUUGACCAGGUGUCUUUUUUCUUAUAACAACGAAAACACAAACCUCUUUGGGUUUUGAAUGGUUCUGGUUGUUGGUAGUGUUCUUGGAAAUCAAGUUGUUUUUAUCAAGGCUGGUUAAUAUUCCAGGUUGGUUGCUAUUUGAAUUAUUUUUUGGUUUAUGACUGGUCAAGGUCACAGAGGGGGUGGUUAAGGAUUUAAGGCAGUGAUUUUGGUGUAUGGUUUUGGAUGGUUGCGCAAUAGACGUUCCUUUCUUCCAUUGGAUUGCUGAGGUCUCCAAGGUUGUGUAUGUGGCUCCUAGUAAUUAAAGAGUCCAUCAAAGUAGCUUCUCCAGCUUUUUGAAUGUCUGCACCUACUAACAUUGCCGUUAUCAUUGUUUAGAAAUCUAAGUCUUGGCAUUAUUGGUUUGGAAUUGCAUGCAGCAACAGCUAUCUUAAUCUAAAAUUAGUUAGCAUCUCUAUAUGGAUCUUUUUUCGUCAUUCAACUCUACUUGAGAUUAGUUUCACAUCAAUAUUUAAAAAUUACAAAAUUUUUUUUAUACUAUUUUCCUUCACGGCAUUUAAAGUCUCUUAACUUUCCUCAUUUCUGUCGCUAAUUUAUCCAAUUUCCAUGCAGGAGCAGUUUUUUUACAUUGGACAUGACUAAAUCAUUUUAAUCGACUCUCUUAUUUUAUCCUUCCUUUGUGGAAUAUGAUCGUUACUAAUUUUAU